UACGUAGGGAGCGAGCGUUGUCCGGAUUUAUUGGGCGUAAAGCGCGCGCAGGCGAUCCUUUAAGUCUGAUGUGAAAGCCCUCGGCUCAACCGAGGAGGGUCAUUGGAAACUGGAGGACUUGAGUGCAGAGGAGGAAAGUGGAAUUCCAAGUGUAGCGGUGAAAUGCGUAGAGAUUUGGAGGAACACCGGUGGCGAAGGCGACUUUCUGGUCUGUAACUGACGCUGAGGCGCGAAAGCGUGGGGAGCAAACAGG
rnacentral:rRNA from 1 species